CCUACGGGGGGCAGCAGUGAGGAAUAUUGGUCAAUGGGCGCGAGCCUGAACCAGCCAAGUCGCGUGAGGGAUGAAGGUUCUAUGGAUCGUAAACCUCUUUUAUAAGGGAAUAAAGUGUGGGACGUGUCCUAUUUUGUAUGUACCUUAUGAAUAAGGAUCGGCUAACUCCGUGCCAGCAGCCGCGGUAAUACGGAGGAUCCGAGCGUUAUCCGGAUUUAUUGGGUUUAAAGGGUGCGUAGGCGGCCUUUUAAGUCAGCGGUGAAAGUUCGGGGCUCAACCCUAGCAUUGCCGUUGAAACGGGGAGACUUGAGUAGGUGUGAGGCAGGCGGAAUGCGGGGUGUAGCGGUGAAAUGCUUAGAUAUCACGCAGAACCCCGAUUGCGAAGGCAGCCUACCAGGCCAUGACUGACGCUGAGGCACGAAAGCGUGGGGAUCAAACAGGAUUAGAUACCCUUGUAGUC
rnacentral:rRNA from 1 species